CCGGAUCUUUCAUGUUAAAUCAUCAAGAAAUAUAAGAAUUGAAGCGGAAGCAUACCUGAAUCAGACAUGGUUAAUGCAAUAUGAAUUUCGCGGUAUGAUCUUCCAAAUCUACACGCAGUUUCCUUUUCCUCUCUGCGAUGGGAUGCAGUAGAGAAUGAAUAAUUCGUUGCGUGUGAUUUGGGGACCAUAACCUAUUUAUAUAGGGAUGCCCUUUGACCUAAUUCGGCCCAUCAUAGAAUUAGGACUUGGGCCCGGUCUCUACACAUAUGUAAACCCAUACUUUAACUGGAUACAUUAAAGCCCAAAAUCGAAGCUUUAUCAGAUCACUUUAAUUGGGCUCAACCGAAUUCGAUAGCAUAUAAUUUAACACACAAUUA
rnacentral:lncRNA from 1 species